GGCGAGAUGGCCGAGCGGUCUAAGGCGCCAGACUAAGGUGUUGCAAGCUGCAUAAUUAUCUGGUCCGAAAGGGCGUGGGUUCGAAUCCCACUCUCGUCA
rfam:Trametes versicolor FP-101664 SS1 unplaced genomic scaffold TRAVEscaffold_2, whole genome shotgun sequence.